rnacentral:rRNA from 1 species
UACGUAGGGGCCUAGCGUUGUCCGGAUUUAUUGGGCGUAAAGAGCUCGUAGGCGGUUCGGCAAGUCGGAUGUGAAAUCUCCACGCUCAACGUGGAGGGGCCAUUCGAAACUGCCGUGACUCGAGUCCGGUAGGGGAGUGUGGAAUUCCCGGUGUAGCGGUGAAAUGCGCAGAUAUCAGGAAGAACACCAAUGGCGAAAGCAGCUCUCUGGGACGGUACUGACGCUGAGACGCGAAAGCGUGGGGAGCGAACAGG